UAUUGGUUGGUCGGAGUUCCCGCCGAGGUGACUGGGCCAACGCGCUUCCCCCGCCCGGCCUCGGUAGUUCCAGAGAGGGCGGGACAAAGGUCGUUCUUCCGCUUUUAAUUGCUUGUGGUUGCUAGGGGCGCUCGGAACGGUAGGUGUGUGGUGAGAGUUCACGUUUUAGAGACGUUGUGAAGCCAUCCCAAGAUUGGCAACUGGGGAACUUGUAUGGAGAGUCGGUCUGUCUGAACCCUGGUUUGAUAGGUCCCUCGCCGACUCCCGCAAUCCCCGCCAGAGCACGUUGGUCCCAGUCUCUCUUCGCUCUUCACCUGCCCGGCCUUUGGCGGGACUCCUCGCUUUUCCGGCUCCGGCGCGGACUUCCUCCAGGUGCUGUGUGACGGCCUCCAGGACUCGACCUGGGAGGUGAUGAGGUGCGCUCCGGUGCGUCUGAGCGGGCGCCGGGGGCGAGUCCAGUCGCUUCAGCACUCCCCUCUCAUGGCUCGUUUGUUGAGAAAAGUUGGUGAGUUCUAGUCGGUAGGAAAGUCUUCAAGUUUCCGCACGGUCAAGCCUUCAGACUUGGACCAAAACAUCAGCUCUUCUUGGAUCUUGAGCCUGCCGACUUUCAGACUGGAACUUAUACCAUCGGUGUCCUGGUUCUCAGGCUUUUGAACUCAGACUGGAACUAAACAUUGGUUCUCCUAAGUCAUCAGCUUGCGGACUGCAGAUCUUGGGACUUCUCAGCCUCUCUAAUCAUAUAAUGAGGAUCUUCAAGAAUGUCUUCGAACUGCAGGUUAAAUAGGCUCAAAGAAAUCCCACCCCUAUUGUUCCAGACUAAGCCCAUCCCCUGGGGCUUAAUCAAGGCAGAGAAGCUGCCAGAGCGAGGAGGUCUAACCUGUGGGAAGGUGGCAUGGAAUAAGAAUGGCAACUAAGAAGCUGUACUAAGAGUUCAGGUGAGAGCAGGUGAGAGAUUGAAUGAAUGCAGAGGCAGAGGGGACAGCAGGGAGAGAGAGCUUGAGGAAACAUCUCUAACAUAGCUGGAGACUGAGUUCAAUCAUGUGACCAAUGAUCCAAUCAGUCAUGCCUUCCCAGUGAAAUCCCAAUAAAAUGUCUUGAUGCUGAGGUUCAGAGGAGUCCCUGGUUGGUGAACACGGGUGUGCUGGGAAGGUGACAUGUCCUGGCUCCCCAGGGAGAAGAUAUGGGAGCUCCAUGUUGAAGACCCUCCCAGACCUCACCCUAUGUGUCCCUUCAUUUGGCUGGCCCUGGUUGUAUCCUUUAAAUAAAACUGUAAUUGUUAAGUGCA